rfam:Ornithorhynchus anatinus Cont36.256, whole genome shotgun sequence.
UGCUUUUCUUUUUCAACAUGGAGCCACCAGCUACUUCUAUAAAAUGCCGAAAAAUGCUUUGGAGGAAGAAAAACAAAGCCAGGAAGUCUCCUCUGUCUGACAUGUGUGUGUGUGUUUAUGUGUGAUGAGCGGGAGGGAAAUAUUGCAAUUUCUUCUUGUUGUUUUGAAAAAUAUCAAGGUCUCCGUGA